CCGGAUGAAUUUCUCGCCUGGCC
rnacentral:miRNA from 2 species